GGGCGCAGCCUGAUGCAGCAACGCCGCGUGAGUGAUGAAGGCCUUCGGGUCGUAAAACUCUGUCCUAUGGGAAGAAAAAAAUGACGGUACCAUAGGAGGAAGCCCCGGCUAACUACGUGCCAGCAGCCGCGGUAAUACGUAGGGGGCAAGCGUUAUCCGGAAUCACUGGGCGUAAAGGGUGCGUAGGUGGCUGAUCAAGCCAGGGGUGAAAGGCAUUGGCUCAACCAAUGUAAGCCUUUGGAACUGAUCGGCUUGAGUGCAGGAGAGGUAAGUGGAAUUCCUAGUGUAGAGGUGAAAUGCGUAGAUAUGCGGAGGAACACCGAUGGCGAAGGCAAUCCCCUGGGCCUGUACUGACGCUCAUGCACGAAAGCGUGGGGAGCAAACAGGAUUAGAUACCCUGGUAGUCCACGCCCUAAACGAUGUCAACUGGUUGUUGGACGGCUUGCUGUUCAGUAACGAAGCUAACGCAAUAAGUAUUCCGCCUGGGGAGUACGCACGCAAGUGUGAAACUCAAAGGAAUUGACGGGGA
rnacentral:rRNA from 2 species